rnacentral:rRNA from 1 species
GUUUCCGUAGGUGAACCUGCGGAAGGAUCAUUAUCGGUGUUUUUUUUGCACUUGAUUCUUAAAUCGAACGAAAAGUUGCCCGUUAUCACAAACGGAUCGACUGACUUGUGUGUUGCGAUCGGUGGUGUCAUUGAAAGUUCUGAAGUAUUAAACUUGGCUUUUAUAUUAUCUGGGUGACAUGGAAAAGAGCAGUAGUUAGACUUCAUAACAAUGGAACUUGACACUUACCGGUGUACAACUUUGUCGGCGAUUCUCCUUGCUAUCUGUUGGUGCCUACUCUACGGUUCCUGUCUAUCCUCGGGAUGAACGUGUGGAUGUAGUGUGUCGCUUGUAAUGAGUGCCGCUAGGUUUAAAUACCAGAUUCGAAUGUAAUUCGACUGCUGGAGCCACAGGUACAAGGCAUUUUCUUUUUCAUUUCAAAACAACAUUGAGCCAGUAUCAUUGAAUCAUUAAAAUUGUGAUUCUCUAUAAACGAAGAAUCGCAAGAAAGCAAAAAUUACUACUGCCAGUGGUGGAUCACUCGGCCCGCUGGUCGAGGAAGAACGUAGCUAGCUACGUUAAUCGGUGUGAAAUGCAGGACACUCUGAUCACUCGACAUUCGAACGCACAUUGCAGCCAUUGGAUAUCCGAUGGCUUCGUUUGUCUGAGCGUCGUUAUCGAAAUUUGACAAACCAAAUGGAAUAGAUCUGUGUCGUCGCGAUUCAUUUCGGCGUCGUGAGAUUAUUUCUAAACAUUUCGAAUGCUGACUCUUUUUUGGUGUGUGAAGGCUUUGUAGCACAUUCAUCAGGGUAUUUAGCGUUUCCAGCUAAACAACCCAGAAUGUGUGCCUUGUAUAUUGCCAACAUGGAUUAGUAUUGCGUGUAAAUAUCAAUUGUCUAUAUUCGACCUCAGAUCAAGCGAGACUA